CUUCUGACGCCUCACCUGCGCCUUACCGCUGUCUAGUAACGUCAGCAGCUCACCGAAGGAUCCCAACUCACCACCUGGAUGUGCUUUUUUGGAAGAAGAAAAAGGAGGUCAGAGAGACACUAAAGCAAGAGUCUUAAAAGGAGAAACCACCUCAAUCAGCUGCAGAACAAUGAACGUUCAGGAAUUGGUGGCGAUUCCAGGGAGCGGCAAUCCCACGGCUGACAGGCAAACGUUCACGGUGCACUCGGAGAAAAACUUAUCCCCUUUUGUAAAAGGCUUAAGUUUAAGAACAAGCUCAGCUGAAGUUGCCUCCUGUGCCCAUAUUCAACCACAAGUGGAUCGUAAAUCACGCCGACUGUUUGGCAGAAGCCAUGGAUCAUUGUACAAUGGUUAAUUAAAGCCAAAUCAAUUUCAGUGCCAGUGGUCUUUUUUACACUGUUCCUACAGAAUGCAGUCCCACGGUGGAGUCAGGAGGAGGAGGAUGACGAGGACCAUAGCGUUUGCUCAGGGCUAGAAAAGAGGCUGCCACUCAUAUUUGUACAGAAGACAAAGCCUCGUGGGCUCUCUGGCACUAUAUGAAAGAUGUGUUUUCACAGCGCGUACAGCAAAUACAACUGUUAUUUUUUUUUUCU